CAAAAACAUCGCCUCCUGCAAAAAUCAACGUAUAGGAGGUCCUGCCUGCCCAGUGACUCUAAGUUAAACGGCCGCGGUAUUUUGACCGUGCAAAGGUAGCGCAAUCACUUGUCUUUUAAAUAAAGACCUGUAUGAAUGGUGAAACGAGGGCUUAACUGUCUCCCCCUUCUAGUCAAUGAAAUUGAUCUAUCCGUGCAGAAGCGGGUAUAACCAUACAAGACGAGAAGACCCUUUGGAGCUUAAGAUAAAAGAUCAACUAUGUCAAAAGUUUAAAAAAAUACUAAACCAAAUAGCACUGAUCCAAGUCUUCGGUUGGGGCGACCGCGGGAGAAAAUACAGCUCCCAUGCAGACUGGGAUAUUCCCCAAAACCAAGAGAGACAUCUCUAAGGCACAGAACAUCUGACUAAAAGAUCCGGCUACAUACCGACCAACGAACCAAGUUACCCUAGGGAUAACAGCGCAAUCCCCUCCCAGAGUCCAUAUCGACAAGGGGGUUUACGACCUCGAUGUUGGAUCAGGAUAUCCUAAUGGUGCAGCCGCUAUUAAGGGUUC
rnacentral:rRNA from 1 species